GUGGGGAAUAUUGGACAAUGGGGGGAACCCUGAUCCAGCCAUGCCGCGUGUGUGAAGAAGGCCUUUUGGUUGUAAAGCACUUUAAGCGAGGAGGAGGCUACCGAGAUUAAUACUCUUGGAUAGUGGACGUUACUCGCAGAAUAAGCACCGGCUAACUCUGUGCCAGCAGCCGCGGUAAUACAGAGGGUGCGAGCGUUAAUCGGAUUUACUGGGCGUAAAGCGCGCGUAGGUGGUUAAUUAAGUCAAAUGUGAAAUCCCCGAGCUUAACUUGGGAAUUGCAUUCGAUACUGGUUGGCUAGAGUAUGGGAGAGGAUGGUAGAAUUCCAGGUGUAGCGGUGAAAUGCGUAGAGAUCUGGAGGAAUACCGAUGGCGAAGGCAGCCAUCUGGCCUAAUACUGACACUGAGGUGCGAAAGCAUGGGGAGCAAACAGGAUUAGAUACCCCGGUAGUCC
rnacentral:rRNA from 1 species